rnacentral:rRNA from 1 species
CUACGUAGGUGGCAAGCGUUGUCCGGAAUUAUUGGGCGUAAAGCGCGCGCAGGUGGUUCCUUAAGUCUGAUGUGAAAGCCCCCGGCUCAACCGGGGAGGGUCAUUGGAAACUGGGGAACUUGAGUGCAGAAGAGGAUAGUGGAAUUCCAAGUGUAGCGGUGAAAUGGGUAGAGAUUUGGAGGAACACCAGUGGCGAAGGCGACUGUCUGGUCUGUAACUGACACUGAGGCGCGAAAGCGUGGGGAGCAAACAGGAUUAGAUACCCUGGUAGUCCACGCCGUAAACGAUGAGUGCUAAGUGUUGGGGGGUUUCCGCCCCUCAGUGCUGCAGCUAACGCAUUAAGCACUCCGCCUGGGGAGUACGGUCGCAAGACUGAAACUCAAAUGAAUUGACGGGG